CCUUUAAAGGAGACCUACCCACUCGAAUAUUUAUAAAAUUGCAAUUAAAUAUAGAGUUGGUCAUCCUAAAGGUCGAUGGUGUUGGUAAUUUGUGUAGAUACUAACUUUCAAACUAUAUUUUGGUUCAAAUUGGGCUAUUAGCUCAGGUGGUUAGAGCGCACCCCUGAUAAGGGUGAGGUCCCUGGUUCGAGUCCAGGAUGGCCCACCUGAAAAAAGUACGAAGUGUAAAGUAUGAAGGAUGAAGUGAAUAAACCACUUUUGACUUUAGCCUUGAGAUUUCAACCUUUGAAUGGGGGGUUAAGUGGCGUUGUUAGAGCGCAAAGCAAGCACUCUGUCAGCGGUUGAAGUUUUUACGUCCUCCAGUUAAAGGAAAAUUCAGCAACUGAGCAUCUUGUUGCCAGACUGCUGGAUGAAUUUCCAGCAAUAGAACCUUGAAAACUGCAUAUUGAAGCGAAUAGAGUAAGCAAGUAGACACAUUGAUUUGUGUUUAAUUUGGAUUACAAGCAAUUGUUUAUUGGUCAAGCUAAUAAGGGCUAACGGUGGAU
rnacentral:tRNA from 2 species